AUGCUGCUGGAGACGGACAGCAGCGGCUACAGGUCGUCACAAGCCACACCGUCAAAAACGCUGGGCAAGCAAGAUUCCCUUCUCCCACCACCGUCCCUCCGCAUCCUGCUAACCCCUCCAGCUCACGAGCCAUCAAGCUCCCUGAGCGUGAAGAAUUUGGUCUCCAAGCUAUGCUCCCCGACUGGCCUGGACCUGGGCACCCCGCGGAUGGCAGCAGAGGCUGGCGGUCCAGCCCUGAGCGCUCAGGCCCUCAAGGAGAUGGCCGUGAGCACCAAGAGCAUUGCCCUCAUCGCGGCCACCCGGCGCUCCAAGGCGCAGGACCGCGAGGGUGGCAGUGGCCACUCCUCCCUCCACCUUCCGGAGGAGGUGGCCCUGGACUCCAGGGACCCGAAGGUCAGUGUCACCCCAAACCCGAGCCCAGCAGACCGGAGGCGGUCCCUUGCCAGCCCAGGCAGGGACAGCUCUGCAGAGAGGAAGCCCAGGAGGAAGCGGUCACCCUCCCUCACCUGGAGCGCACAGCCGGUGAUGGAGCCCGUGGCUGAGAGCCAGCUGCCCCUGGCACUCCCGCAGCUGACAAAGUCGUCCGGAAAGAGCUUCUUCCCCGCCGUCCCCAUGGCCUCCAAGAGGAAACCCAGCCUGGGUGUCCAUGCAGACGAGAAGAUGCCCCCGGUGCCUGAGGUCAGCUUCACCUUCCCCAGCGCCACGUGGCACAGCAGCCCGGGCCCGGGCAAGGCCCCGCUCCUGCCCCGGGACAUCCGAGGUCAGUGCCCGCGCGAACCCACGGCUCCCGCUCCCCACGCGCCCCUGCCGUGCAUGCGGCGGCCGCGCCUCCCCGUGGCUACUUGA
rnacentral:lncRNA from 1 species